rnacentral:lncRNA from 7 species
AGAAAAGCAACUCUACUGAUGGACAGCAGUGAGAAAAAUGUGUGGCACUUCUACUGCUGCUCCAGAAAGCACUGUACUGACAGCAUAAAAAACUUCUGGUACUGACCUCCAUCAUUAACCUCCCUUCUCGCUUGGUCCUCCACAGCCUGGUGUUAAUGAGAAAAGAUAAUUCUUCUUCUUCACUGGAAUGGAACCAAAGCCUUUCAGAACAGCUUUUACUCCCAGUGGCAAGACAGAAAUCUCGUGCUCUAGAAGCACCAAAGGCUGGUGUGUUCAUCUGGGAUGUCGGACACUCAAUGAAUUUCUCAUUGGCAGAGCAGAGUGGUUCCCAGAAGAGAAAUUCUGAGAAUCUUUCUUGAGAAUGGCCAGGUGGUCAGAAUAACUACCUGGCAUGUGAAGCCUGUUGUUUGUUAUAUCUCUGGUCUGAAUGAAGAAACCCCACUUAGGCCAGGUCCUGUGUAUUCUCCUGAGGUGCUUCCCUGUAUGGGAAUCUGUGGAGUGAGCCUCUGGUCCAUACCAGGAGGACUUCGGCUGAAUCCAAAACUGUUGCUCUUCCAUAUGUUCUUGUAAGGGGACAAUUCAGCAAACUGGUAAUGUUUGUGAAUACCUCUUUUACCCAAAUGACCUCUGUCGUCUCUACAUUUUUCUCAGAUUUUCUACUGCUUUACUGUAGUAGCGUUAUACAUAACAGCUACAGAAAAUGUUAUCUUCGAUGUUUCUGUUUUUGAAGAAGAACUUCUAAGAGUUUCACCACUGUUUUUUUUCCUAGUGGAUCAGAUAAUAGAACUGCCUUUUUGUUCAUGACAUUGUGUUUGGAUGAGAAGAUACGGUGACCAGAAAAAGGAAAUUUUACCUCUUAGGAAUCAUAAAAUUGCAUGGACUCUCUGGGGAACAAGCUGCUGUGUUAGAAAAGCAAUGCAGAAGGUGAGGUAGAAAAACACUUAAAAAAGAGCCAAAAAACGCGCCAACUCUCUGGAACCCUUUCCGGAGAGGGUACCUCUCUGGUACCCCUUCCACUAGUGUGGUCUCCAUCUGAAGCUUGAUUUAAUGCUGUUUUCUAGAACCAGAGGAAUCCUCUGCUGGUGCUGGGUUUCCUGACUGCAUACCUCUCCUGUAACCUCAGAUGGUUUCCCUCUCCACUGCAGUGACCCUGUGCUGAGGCCAGGUGGGAAGAAGGAAAAGGUGCUAAUUCUGCUGCAGUGUGGCAUUUAGCACCUGCUGUGGUCCAGGGAAGUUAGAAAGGCUGCUACUUCAUGCAGAAUUUGUUUCAGUGUAGUCCAUAUUCUUUGAUCCAAAUGCCUAACCACUUGUAUGGCUUUGUGUUAACUGUAAGAACUCCAUGCAGAAGUACAUGAACUUUCUGUAGGUGAUUGUUUAUUACAAAAAAAAAAAAAAAAGACAGGAGUGGGGAGGAAGGGGCAACAGUGGAAAAGAGGCAACUGAAAGUAGGUUACCUGUAAAAAAUAUUUUCUUUUAUACAAUACAGAAUCUGCAUGUUGGCCUAGUUGCUGUAAUAUAGAAGUCUUUCCAUUCAAAUAAUGUUGUAACUGAACUGUCUCAUAGGGCUGUUGUGAAACUAAUAAUGCUUGCUAAUUGCUUUGACACUUUCAUAAAAGUUCCUAUGAAAUUAAUAGCUGUUCUUUUAUUUCCCAUAUUACAAUUGUGUUCAGGAACCGGAAUAUCUACUUUUAUCAGACGGUGGGUGGUAUCUACUUCAGUUUCUGCUUAUUUCCCCAAGUUGCAAAUUGACAUUACAGUAGCAAAGAAGAAAAGUAAAUAGGUGGUCCUGUAUUUCAUUUCUCAUGAUGUCACAAGAAGAACUCAUUCAAAUUAAAAUAAUGUAUUUUUCACUGCACAUGUAAUUAGUAUGAUUAGGCAAAAAGUUCCACAGAUAGCUUUGGGGACAAAUGCAGUCACCUUUUAUACUAUUCCAUGAGGUUUUUUGCUAACUAAUGUAUUACCGGCUUUUCUGAUGAUAAUUUAAUUUCUCCUUCAGUGAAUAGUACAUACGUUGUAAAUUUAUUUACGGGUGAAACAUGAUUUCUUGUGAAGCGGUGUCUGAUGGUCUGUAGAGCAGUUCCUGGAUGUUUACAUAGAGAUAUAUUUUUUUAAGGAAAUAAACUAAAGGAUUAU